GCAUAUCAAUAAGCGGAGGAAAAGAAACCAACAGGGAUUACCUCAGUAACGGCGAGUGAAGCGGUAACAGCUCAAAUUUGAAAGCUGCCAACAGGCCGCGUUGUAAUUUGUAGAAGCUGCUUUGGGUGUCGGCCCGGUCUAAGUUCCUUGGAACAGGACGUCAUGGAGGGUGAGAAUCCCGUAUGUGAUCGGUGCCGUUGCCCGUGUAAAGCGCUUUCGACGAGUCGAGUUGUUUGGGAAUGCAGCUCAAAAUGGGUGGUAAAUUUCAUCUAAAGCUAAAUAUUGGCCAGAGACCGAUAGCGCACAAGUAGAGUGAUCGAAAGAUGAAAAGCACUUUGGAAAGAGAGUUAAACAGUACGUGAAAUUGUUGAAAGGGAAGCGCUUGCAACCAGACUUGCGGGCGGUCGAUCAUCCGAGGUUCUCCCCGGUGCACUCGAUCGUUCUCAGGCCAGCAUCGGUUUCCGGGGUGGGAUAAAGGCGGUGGGAAUGUGGCUCUUCGGAGUGUUAUAGCCCACCGUGCAAUGCCGCCACUGGGGACCGAGGACCGCGCUUCGGCUAGGAUGCUGGCGUAAUGGUUGUAAGCGACCCGUCUUGAAACACGGACCAAGGAGUCUAACAUCUAUGCGAGUGUUUGGGUGUCAAACCCAUACGCGUAAUGAAAGUGAACGGAGGUAAGAGCCCUUUAGGGUGCAUUAUCGACCGAUCCUGAUGUCUUCGGAUGGAUUUGAGUAAGAGCAUAGCUGUUGGGACCCGAAAGAUGGUGAACUAUGCGUGAAUAGGGUGAAGCCAGAGGAAACUCUGGUGGAGGCUCGCAGCGGUUCUGACGUGCAAAUCGAUCGUCAAAUUUGCGUAUAGGGGCGAAAGACUAAUCGAACCAUCUAGUAGCUGGUUCCUGC
rnacentral:rRNA from 1 species